rnacentral:misc_RNA from 1 species
GAUGAAGAACGUAGCGAAACGCGAUAAGUAAUGUGAAUUGCAGAAUCCAGUGAAUCAUCGAAUCUUUGAACGCACAUUGCGCCCGCCAGCAUUCUGGCGGGCAUGCCUGUACGAGCGUCAUUUCAACCCUCGACCUCCCCUUGGGGAGGUCGGCGUUGGGGACCGGCAGCACACCGCCGGCCCUGAAAUGGAGUGGCGGCCCGUCCGCGGCGACCUCUGCGCAGUAAUACAGCUCGCACCGGGACCCCGACGCGGCCACGCCGUGAAACACCCAACUUCUGAACGUUGACCUCGAAUCAGGUAGGACUACCCGCUGAACUUAAGCAUAUCAAUAAGCGGAGGA